rnacentral:rRNA from 1 species
UACAGAGGGUGCGAGCGUUAAUCGGAAUGACUGGGCGUAAAGGGCGCGUAGGCGGCCACCGCAAGUCGGUUGUGAAAUCUCUGGGCUUAACCCAGAAAGGUCAACCGAUACUGCGGGGCUAGAGUGCAGAAGGGGCAACUGGAAUUCUCGGUGUAGCGGUGAAAUGCGUAGAUAUCGAGAGGAACACCUGCGGCGAAGGCGGGUUGCUGGGCUGACACUGACGCUGAAGCGCGAAAGCUAGGGGAGCGAACGGG